UUUAUACUAGUUUAAUAGAAACAAAUAUUAUUUUUUUUUAGAUCAAUUUGCAUAAAAAAUUUAUAUAGGAUUCGUUUGAUUUGGAUAUGAGUAAGAACUAAUUAUUUUAGAAAUAAGUAUAAGAUAAGGUACAAUGUGGAUAUAGAAUAAUUUUGUAUUUGAUUAAGUAUUGGGUUUAAUCCAGGUACAAACAAAAUAGUGUUUGGUUGGAGUAAAUAGAAUAAGAAGGAUAGCGUGUAGUUAUAAAUAAAAAAUAAUAAUAUUAUCCUUUUUAUUAUAUUUGAAUUAAAAUUUUUAAAUUUUAUAUUUAAAAUUUUAAAUUUAAAUAUAUAACUCUUAAAUUUCAAAAAUACAAAAUUAAAAUUUUAAUUUAAAAAUAUCAAAUUCGAAAAUUCAAAGAUCUAAAUUUUCAAUUUUAAAUUUUAAAUUUAAGAUCAAAUCUAAACUUAAAAUAUAAAAUUUUAAAUUUUAAAUUUAAAAAAAUUAAAUAUGUCAAUUUAAAAUUUAUAAUUAAAAUUUUAAAAUUUAAAAUUUAUUAUUAUAAAUUUUAAUUUUGAGAGUACAAAUUAUAAAUUUUUAAAAUUUAAAUUUUAAAUUUAAAACAUAAAUAGGAUGAGAAUAACUAUUCCCAUCCCUAUUCCAGGGGAAGGGUGAGAUUGCUAACCCCACCCCUUAACGGGUUAUCCCGGUAUAACCCGUUAAAAAGUGGAAUAGCAAUCCCCACUUUUUUUUUGUUUGGCUACCCCUUAUCCCACCCCUUAUACCCCAACCAAACGUAGGGAUAUAAGUUCUGAGCUUUUGCAAAAUUAGAUUGCUUUUUCGAUUUUACAGAUUCAGACUGGAUUUUCAACAAAUUGACCAAAAUACAUUAUUUCUUUUCUCUCUAUUUUUUUUUCUUCGUUCUUUUUUUUUUUUUUCUCUCCUACUGUCAUAGCCUCCUCCACCGCCUCUACGGCCCUCGGUAACAGUAAUGAGGGUGGCAUCGCAUCCUCUUUCUCUAUCUCCUCCUCCGCCGGCACUGACGGCCCUCGGCGACAAUAAUGAGGGCGGCGCCGCCUCCUCCGCCUCCGUCGACGCCGAA
rnacentral:lncRNA from 1 species